rnacentral:rRNA from 1 species
AUGAAUACCUACAUUAAUUUGGCUUUCCUUGUUCAUAGAGCGAAGCGUAGUUACUGCUUGUUCAUAGUAUUUAUUUAUUUAAUUUACAGCGUAUCAAAAAACAUUAAUCAACCAGUCAGAAAAGCAGUACUGGUGUCGUUUCUUACAUCCUCAGAGCUCUCUCAGAUUGAUUACCAUCAUCUCUUGGUGUGGCUCCAAUCAACAGCCGAGGCGUCGGAAUCCAUUGUCGAAGUUGAAGUGUGGCUUGGCGGCGGCACCGCCCCUGAGGAUGUACUGGUGGUACGCCAUGGCCACGGCGGCGCCAGAAAACGGGCCGACCCAGAAGAUCCACUGCUCGCUCCACGCCUUGCUGUUGUUGUACACCACGGCGGCACCCAGGCUCCUCGCCGGGUUGAUCCCGGUGCCGGUGACGGGGAUGGUGGCCAGGUGCGCCACCACCACCGCGAACCCGAUGAGCAGCGGCGCCAGCACCGGCACGUGGGUGUCCCGCGCCAUGCGCUUCGGGUCGGUCGCCGAGAACACGGUGUACACGAGGACGAAGGUGCCGGCCGCCUCGGCCAGCAGCCCCCCCGCCUUGGAGUACCCCGGCGAGACCUCGUUGGCGCCGCCGCCGUAGAGCUCGUAGUACCGCGCGCCGUGCACGGCCCUGACCAUCGCCGCGCCGCAGAUGGCGCCGAGGCACUGCGCCGACGUGUAGAGGAGGGCGCGGGGGAGCGACAGCUUCCUCGCCAGCAGCAGCCCGAACGUCACGGCGGGGUUGACGUGGCCGCCGGAGAUGCCGGCGGUGCAGUAGACGAGGACGGCGAUCAUGCCGCCGAAGGCCCACGCGAUGCCCAGCACGCCGGCGCCGCUGCACGCUUCCGCGUCCGUCUGGCGCUUGUGGCCGAUCACGGUGGCGAUGGAGACGUAGACGAAGAGCAGACUGGCGGUGAACUCGGAGAUGAUGGCGCGGUACAGGGACCACUGGCCCAGCUCGCCGGCGUCGAACAGCCGCACGGCCGGAGGGUCGAGGUAGUCCUUGGUGACGCUGAUAUCGUUGUUACCAUGGGCCUCUCUACUCUGCUUGCCCUGUGCAGCGCCGGCCAUGUCGAUAUCGAUCGACCUCUAGCUCAGCUGAUUGAUUCGGGAAGAAAAGAAGAGAUCGAUGGAUGGAAAGAAUCAAGAAUCGGUGAAGUGUUCUGUCCAUAA